rnacentral:tRNA from 3 species
GGGUCGUUAGCUCAGUUGGUAGAGCAGUUGACUUUUAAUCAAUUGG